UACAGGGGGGGCUAGCGUUGUUCGGAAUUACUGGGCGUAAAGGGCGCGUAGGCGGCUCAUCAAGUCAGAUGUGAAAUCCCGGGGCUUAACUCCGGACGUGCAUUUGAAACUGUUAGGCUAGAGUGCGGUAGAGGAUGGUGGAAUUCCCAGUGUAGAGGUGAAAUUCGUAGAUAUUGGGAGGAACACCGGUGGCGAAGGCGGUCAUCUGGGCUGCAACUUACGCUGAGGCGCGAAAGCGUGGGGAGCAAACAGG
rnacentral:rRNA from 1 species